GAGGCAGGCUUAACACAUGCAAGUCGAACGGUAACAGGGGGAGCUUGCUCCCCGCUGACGAGCGGCGGACGGGUGAGUAAUGCAUAGGAAACUGCCCAGUAGUGGGGGAUAGCCCGGGGAAACCCGGAUUAAUACCGCAUACGCCCUUNGGGGGAAAGCAGGGGAUCUUCGGACCUUGCGCUAUUGGAUGUGCCUAUGUCGGAUUAGCUAGUUGGUGGGGUAAGAGCCUACCAAGGCGACGAUCCGUAGCUGGUCUAAAAGGAUGAUCAGCCACAUCGGGACUGAGACACGGCCCGAACUCCUACGGGAGGCAGCAGUGGGGAAUAUUGGACAAUGGGGGCAAGCCUGAUCCAGCCAUGCCGCGUGUGUGAAGAAGGCUUUCGGGUUGUAAAGCGCUUUCAGUGAGGAGGAAAACCUUCAGUUUAAUACUCGUGAGGCUU
rnacentral:rRNA from 1 species